UUUUCAUCGAAAGUUUGGAACGAACCAAUUGUCAAUUGACUUAAGAUUGAAUGGCAAUUUUAAAAUUUUGGUAUUUGUCAGUUGUCAAUUAAAUUAGGAAUUAAAAAGAGAUUGUCAUUGUUUGUGCCACAAACAUCCCAAUACUCGGUACCUUAUUCGAAGCCACUUCCAUCUUCUCUACAAAUCAUCAUAAAUCCAACUUCAAAAAUGGCCGUCAGGUGACCUUCUCUUUCCGCUUUUCCUAAAGUUUGCUCUGCUCUAUUGACGCACUCUUCCUCAUUCUAACCCAUCAUCACUAUGGUUCCUUUGGUCUAGGCAAUGCUUUUUCACCAUUCAACAUUAGAACUACACUUGACAUGUCUGGUCUAUCAUCAGGUCUCUCUUGCACACAUAAAAGACCUAUUUGAAUACAUCUCAAUAUUUCUGGUUCAGCUAUAACAAUUGAAUCUCCUAGUGAUUCAUCUAUCACCUCCAAAGGUGUUUCUUCACACCACAUUCUCCAUGCCUACAUCAUAUGAAAUAUUAUGAUUGUGAGUUUAAUUUUCAAUAUCAGAAUAGGUGGUUAACGCAAUUCAAAUAUGUGAUUAACCAUGUUUCAUAGAUGGUUAUUGAAUAUGACAAGAUAUUGCAACUCAUUAACCAUUCAGUAAACGUUAUUAACCAUGAUUUUAAACUACACCAAAUUGUGUUCAAAUAUACACGAUUUAAUGAUUUUCAAAUAUACAUGACAUUCAUUAAAUAUAUAUCCAUUAUUUAUGUUCUAAUAUACACAUGAAAAUUGUAGUUAAUGAUGUUCAAAAUCGUGGUUAAUUAUAUUCUACAAAUGGUUACUGUUCUGCUACAUAUAUCUGUUAACCGCCUACUGAACGUGAUUAAUAAUGUAUUUGAAUUGUGUUAACUAUUUAGUUUGUUGUCACGUUUUGUGUAAAAUAACACAACUCUUUCAAUAUGACAAUACAUAAGUUGUUUUAACUGUUAGACUUA